rnacentral:rRNA from 1 species
AAGUCGAACGGCAGCCAAAGCUUGCUCUUUGGGUGGCGAGUGGCGUACGGGUGAGUAAUGGGUGGGAAACUGCCCGAUGGAGGGGGAUAACUACUGGAAACGGUAGCUAUACCGCUAACGUCCGGACCGUGGGGGACCUUCGGGCCUCACACCUCGGAUGUGCCCAUGGGAUUACUAGGAGUGGGGUAAUGGUCCUAGCACAUCCUCUGGUCUGAGAGGAUGACCAGCCCCUGGAACUGAGACCGGCCAGACUCCUAGGGGAGGCCUAGGGGAAUAUUGCACAAUGGGCGCAAGCCUGAUGCAGCCAUGCCGCGUGUAUGAAGAAGGCCUUCGGGUUGUAAAGUACUUUCAGCGGGGAGGAAGGCGGUGAGGUUAAUACCUUGCCGAUUGACGUUACCCGCAGAAGAAGCACCGGCUAACUCCGUGCCAGCAGCCGCGGUAAUACGGAGGGUGCAAGCGUUAAUCGGAAUUACUGGGCGUAAAGCGCACGCAGGCGGUCUGUUAAGUCAGAUGUGAAAUCCCCGGGCUUAACCUGGGAACUGCAUUUGAAACUGGCAGGCUUGAGUCUCGUAGAGGGGGGUAGAAUUCCAGGUGUAGCGGUGAAAUGCGUAGAGAUCUGGAGGAAUACCGGUGGCGAAGGCGGCCCCCUGGACGAAGACUGACGCUCAGGUGCGAAAGCGUGGGGAGCAAACAGGAUUAGAUACCCUGGUAGUCCACGCCGUAAACGAUGUCGACUUGGAGGUUGUGCCCUUGAGGCGUGGCUUCCGGAGCUAACGCGUUAAGUCGACCGCCUGGGGAGUACGGCCGCAAGGUUAAAACUCAAAUGAAUUGACGGGGGCCCGCACAAGCGGUGGAGCAUGUGGUUUAAUUCGAUGCAACGCGAAGAACCUUACCUGGCCUUGACAUCCAGAGAACUUAGCAGAGAUGCUUUGGUGCCUUCGGGAACUCUGAGACAGGUGCUGCAUGGCUGUCGUCAGCUCGUGUUGUGAAAUGUUGGGUUAAGUCCCGCAACGAGCGCAACCCUUAUCCUUUGUUGCCAGCGGUUCGGCCGGGAACUCAAAGGAGACUGCCGGUGAUAAACCGGAGGAAGGUGGGGAUGACGUCAAGUCUUCAUGGCCCUUACGGCCAGGUCUACACACGUGCUACAAUGGCGCAUACAAAGAGAAGCGACCUCGCGAGAGCAAGCGGACCUCAUAAAGUGCGUCGUAGUCCGGAUUGGAGUCUGCAACUCGACUCCAUGAAGUCGGAAUCGCUCGUAAUCGUAGAUCAGAAUGCUACGGUGAAUACGUUCCCGGGCCUUGUACACACCGCCCGUCACACCAUGGGAGUGGGUUGCAAAACAAGUAGGUAGAUUAACCCCUGGAGGGCGCUGACCAC